CAGCCGCGGUAAUACCAGCCCCCGCGAGUGGUCGGGACGUUUAUUGGGCCUAAAAGCGCCCGUAGCCGGCCCGGUAAGUCACCCCCUUAAAGACCCAGGCUCAACCUGGGGAGUGGGGGUGAUACUGCCGGGCUAGGGGGCGGGAGAGGGCCCAGGGGGUACUCCCCGGGAGGUAGGGGACGAAACUCCGUAGACGUCCCGGGAGGACCACCAGUGGCGAAGGC
rnacentral:rRNA from 1 species